GGGGAUAUAGCUUAGUGGCACAGUGCCUGCUUGGCAAGCAGCAAAUCUUCAGUUUGAUUCCUGGUACCCCCC
rnacentral:tRNA from 1 species